CCGAAUCAGAUCGGAAUCGAGGCUGACUUGGAUCGGAAUCGAGGUUGCGUUCUUGCCUGUAUACAUAGCUGCAGGAUGGAACUCCGCCUCGCCCGACCCUUGGUCCCCGGGUCGGAUGCGCCCGACCCCUUGAGGGUGGAACUCCGCCUCGCCCAACCCUUGGUCCCGGGGUCGGAUGCGCCCGACCCCUUGAGGGUGGAACUCCGCCUCGCCCGACCCCGAGUGAAGCUCCGCCUCGCCCGACCCUGAGUCCUGGGGUCGGGAGUGUCCGACCCCUAAGCGGAAC
rnacentral:lncRNA from 1 species